CAAACUUUUGUAGUUACGUUUCAUUUCAAUUUGCGCAACACCGUUUUUUAACUACAACGCGUCAGAUAAACGAAACAGAUAUAUGCAGCGUUAAUGUAUCAAAAGAAGAUAAAAUGAUAAAUGUCAGUGGUUCUAAAACAAUUACUUUCAUAACAAACAUGCCUGUCUCGUUUCGAUUGACGGAUGACAUUAUUUGUCACAAGAUAAUUUAAAUUUCAAAUUAUGGAAAAGAAAAAGCCUUUUUGUGGAUUUCUAAAUCCUCAAGCCAAAAAAAAGGUAAGCUGCCUUAAAGCCUAAGAAACUAGUUUCUACCUUAGUAUUGCGCUCUUCAAUGGUAUUGGUCACACUUAAUUAGAUUUCCACAUAAAGAUUGAAAAUUUAAGGCUAAUAACUGAAGGUUUGGAUUUUGGAUGAAAAUUUGGUCGCCAAUCAUAGUACGGCUUAACUUACGUGGACCAUGUAGAUCGUUCGAUCUACAUUUGAUUUCGACUAAUGCAGAUCUGUUGAACCACUUGCCUAAAUUCAGUAAAUCAAUUACUGUUUAAGGGACUUUUGAACAUCUCAAUCACUUUUGAUAUUUCUGCAAAAAAAAGGAAUUUCCUUAUGACCAAAAUUAGUUUAGUUAUGAAAAUUUAAUGUUUAGUAGUGCUCUCACAGAUCUAUUAAAUGUUAUUAUCCUUAA